UGAGCAAUCUGCCCUUCUCAUCGGAAUAAAGCGUUGGAAACGACGUCUAAUGCCGAAUACGACCUCCUUUCGCAUGAUCGGAGGAGGAAAGCUCCGGCGGAGAAGGAUGAGCUCGCGGCCUAUCAGCUAGUUGGUGAGGUAACGGCUCACCAAGGCGACGACGGGUAGCUGGUCUGAGAGGAUGGCCACGCCACAUUGGGGACUGAGACACGGCCCAGAUCCCGUAACGGGG
rnacentral:rRNA from 1 species